GAUGAACGCUAGCGGCAGGCCUAAUACAUGCAAGUCGAACGGUGUCUUCGGACAUAGUGGCGCACGGGUGCGUAACACGUAUGCAACCUACCUUACAUUGGGGGAUAGCCUUUCGAAAGGGAGAUUAAUACCGCAUAAGACAGUAGCUGGGCAUCCAGCAGCUGUUAAAGACUUAUCGAUGUAAGCUGGGCAUGCGUCCAAUUAGCUAGUUGGUGAGGUAACGGCUCACCAAGGCAAUGAUUGGUAGGGGAACUGAGAGGUCAAUCCCCCACACUGGCACUGGGAUACGGGCCAGACUCCUACGGGAGGCAGCAGUAGGGAAUAUUGGGCAAUGGACGCAAGUCUGACCCAGCCAUGCCGCGUGCAGGAUGAAGGCGUUAUGCGUUGUAAACUGCUUUUAUACAGGAAGAAACGACUCUUGCGAGAGGCAUUGACGGUACUGUAUGAAUAAGCACCGGCUAACUCCGUGCCAGCCGCCGCAGUAAUAC
rnacentral:rRNA from 1 species